rnacentral:rRNA from 1 species
GAUGAACGCUGGCGGCGUGCUUAACACAUGCAAGUCGAACGGAAAGGCCAGUGCUUGCACUGGUUCUCGAAUGGUGAACGGGUGAGUAACACGUAGGUGAUCUGCCCUGCACUUUGGGUUAGGCCUAGGAAACUGGGUGUACUACCAGAUAGGGCCACUCUUUGACAGGUGUUUUGGUAAGAUUUUUCGGUGUGGGAUGAGCUUUCGGCCUAUCAGCUUGUUGGUGGGGUAAUGGCCUACCAAGGCGCCGACGGGUAGCCGGCCUGAGAGGGUGUACGGCCACAUUGGGACUGAGACACGGCCACGACUCCUACGGGAGGGAGAGGUGGGGAAUAUUGAACAAUGGGCGCAGGCCUGAUGCAGAGACGACGCGUGGGGGAUGACGGCCUUCGGGUUGUAAACUCAUUUCGCAACUGACGAAGCUUUUUGUGACGGUAGGUUGAGAAGAAGCACCGGCUAACUACGUG